AUGUAUUUCAUCAGUACCAUGUCAUCAUGAAGGAACGUGUAUAACUACAGACAAUUCUUCAUAUUGUUUAUGUGCAGAUGGAUACCUGGGAAAAAAUUGUGAAUAUAGAGGUCCUUCAGGUUACCAGUUCUUUGUAGUGUUUAAUCCGAGGCUGAGGAAAGUUACCCUUUACCUGUCAUCCCGGAAGCAUGGACAUUGUGAUAUCAUUUACCCAUCUUUUAAACGAACCAAAACGUUGACACUGGAAGGAGAAUAUGUAGCAUUUGGCUUAUCCAAUGACUUUGCUAACGAUACCGAAAGCAGUGAUGUACACGUUCGUAUUUUCUGUGACGUCCUCAUUACUUUAUUUAAUUUUGUCAAAGAUAGUUAUGGCUCAAUUUGGGAGUCAUACACUGCGAUACCCUCUGCAUUGUUAUCUACACAAUAUGUUGUACCACAGUUUAAAACUCAGCAGAAGUUUGAUGCACUUGGAGUGAUAGCAAUCGAAGAGGAUACACAAAUCAAUGUUAAUUUUACAUCGGCACGGUGGAUUCUGAGUAACAUUACAUUUCGUCAAAGCACUUACCAUAAGGGCCAGUUAUUGUCAUUUACGACAGAUCCAUACAUAUACAAUUAUAUAAGCUGCGAUGAGUGUUAUCUUACAGGAACGUAUAUUACGUCAUCUUACCCAGUGGCUGUAAUGUUUAAAUCUUCUAUUCCUGAGGUAGUUCCGUUACUACCUUAUAAAGAAUUUAGUCGUCAAUUCAUUGUUCCAAAACUUCAAGAAGAAAUUAAGACUAUGGGGCUAAGAAUAUUUGCGCAUACUAGAACUAGACUAGAAUUAAAGGAUGAUAAUAAUGUAGUGUCUACCGUCCUAAAUGCAAACAACUACCAUAACACAAACCACAAGAACACAACGGCCAUAACGGCAGACCAAAAUGUUUUAUUGUUCCUAAAGAUUCAUAGUCCUCAUACAGGAACUAUUGAUGUGACUGUUCCAAGUGAUACACAGUAUUUACCCGAAUAUCAGUUUAUCAUUCCACACGGCGCAAUGAAAAGCCUUGCAACGUUUAUCAUCAAGUUAGGGUUUACGCAAGGUAUUCGGCUUAAUGAUGAUAUUAUCAAAAACGACGAGUUUAACCAGAAAAUGACGAUCAAGUUAAAUACCAAUGAUUACCAGAUUUUCUCUGUAAAUGUUACUACCGGUUGGCACACAGUUCAUCAUAUUGAACAUGUGCCCUUUGGAAUUUUAAUUCAAGGUAUUUCAAAUUCUCAAAACAAGCAAUUUUCAAGUCCUUAUGCAUAUUUUCCUGGUAUGAAUUACAGUGUGGUUUAGAAUUGAUACGUUUAUUCGUAUUAUCUACAACAUUACUUUUUUCCGUAUGUACAUUUCAUAUUUAGACCAAAUGCUCUAUUGUGACAAAUAACAAAAAUAUCAGAUCUAUAAAACUAGAUAUGCUU